UACGGAGGGUGCGAGCGUUAAUCGGAAUUACUGGGCGUAAAGCGCGCGUAGGCGGCUCAUUAAGUCGGAUGUGAAAUCCCUGGGCUUAACCUAGGAACUGCAUUCGAUACUGGUAAGCUAGAGUAUGGUAGAGGAAAGCGGAAUUCCCGGUGUAGCGGUGAAAUGCGUAGAUAUCGGGAGGAACAUCAGUGGCGAAGGCGGCUUUCUGGACCAAUACUGACGCUGAGGCGCGAAAGCGUGGGUAGCAAACAGGAUUAGAUACCCUGGUAGUCCACGCCCUAAACGAUGUCAACUAGCCGUUGGGUUCAUUUAAGAGCUUAGUGGCGCAGCUAACGCGAUAAGUUGACCGCCUGGGGAGUACGGCCGCAAGGUUA
rnacentral:rRNA from 1 species